rnacentral:rRNA from 1 species
CCUACGGGAGGCUGCAGUGAGGAAUAUUGGUCAAUGGCCGGAAGGCUGAACCAGCCAAGCCGCGUGAAGGACGAAGGUGCCAAGCAUUGUAAACUUCUUUUGUCAAGGGACAAAAUCAGGCUCGAGAGCCUGUCCGAGGGUACCUUAAGAAAAAGCAUCGGCUAACUCCGUGCCAGCAGCCGCGGUAAUACGGAGGAUGCGAGCGUUAUCCGGAUUUAUUGGGUUUAAAGGGUGCGUAGGCGGGAUGGUAAGUCAGCGGUAAAAGCGCGGGGCUCAACCCCGGCGAGCCGUUGACACUGGCGGUCUUGAGUGGGCGAGAGGUAUGCGGAAUGCGCGGUGUAGCGGUGAAAUGCUUAGAUAUUGCGCAGAACUCCGAUUGCGAAGGCAGCAUACCGGCGGCGAACUGACGCUGAGGCACGAAAGCGUGGGUAUCGAACAGGAUUAGAUACCCGGGUAGUC